UACGUAGGGACCGAGCGUUGUCCGGAAUCAUUGGGCGUAAAGAGCGUGUAGGCGGCCACUUAAGUCCUGCGUGAAAUCCUGCGGCUCAACCGCAGGCGGUCGUGGGAAACUGGGUGGCUAGAGUGCGGGAGAGGAGAGUGGAAUUCCCAGUGUAGAGGUGAAAUUCGUAGAUAUUGGGAAGAACACCGGUGGCGAAGGCGGCUCUCUGGACCGAGACUGACGCUGAGGCGCGAAAGCGUGGGGAGCGAACAGG
rnacentral:rRNA from 1 species